CCCCUUGUGGUGUAGUUGGCUAUCACGUUCGGCUGUAAAUGUUCUUUGAUCGUUUAUCGAUAUACCGAAAGGUCACCGGCUCGAUUCCGGUCGAGGGGA